UCCUACGGGAGGCAGCAGUGGGGAAUAUUGCACAAUGGAGGAAACUCUGAUGCAGCGACGCCGCGUGAGCGAUGAAGGUCUUCGGAUCGUAAAGCUCUGUCCUAAGGGACGAUAAUGACGGUACCUUAGGAGGAAGCCCCGGCUAACUACGUGCCAGCAGCCGCGGUAA
rnacentral:rRNA from 1 species